UGGGGAAUAUUGCACAAUGGGCGCAAGCCUGAUGCAGCCAUGCCGCGUGUGUGAAGAAGGCCUUCGGGUUGUAAAGCACUUUCAGCGGGGAGGAAGGCGUUAAGGUUAAUAACCUUGGCGAUUGACGUUACCCGCAGAAGAAGCACCGGCUAACUCCGUGCCAGCAGCCGCGGUAAUACGGAGGGUGCAAGCGUUAAUCGGAAUUACUGGGCGUAAAGCGCACGCAGGCGGUCUGUCAAGUCGGAUGUGAAAUCCCCGGGCUCAACCUGGGAAAUGCAUUCGAAACUGGCAGGCUAGAGUCUUGUAGAGGGGGGUAGAAUUCCAGGUGUAGCGGUGAAAUGCGUAGAGAUCUGGAGGAAUACCGGUGGCGAAGGCGGCCCCCUGGACAAAGACUGACGCUCAGGUGCGAAAGCGUGGGGAGCAAACAGG
rnacentral:rRNA from 1 species